UACGUAGGGUGCAAGCGUCGUCCGGAAUUAUUGGGCGUAAAGAGCUCGUAGGCGGUUUGUCGCGUCUGCUGUGAAAACCCGAGGCUCAACCUCGGGCCUGCAGUGGGUACGGGCAGACUAGAGUGCGGUAGGGGAGAUUGGAAUUCCUGGUGUAGCGGUGGAAUGCGCAGAUAUCAGGAGGAACACCGAUGGCGAAGGCAGAUCUCUGGGCCGUAACUGACGCUGAGGAGCGAAAGCGUGGGGAGCGAACAGG
rnacentral:rRNA from 1 species